ACUCAAUAGAUACCCAGGUAGUCCUGGCAGUAAACGGUGCGCGUUUGGUGUGGGAGGAUUCGACCCCUUCUGUGCCGGAGCUAAACGCGUUAAACGCGCCGCCUGGGGAGUACGGUCGCAAGAUUAAAACUCAAAGAAAUUGACGGGGGCCCGCACAAGCGGUGGAGUAUGUGGCUUAAUUCGAUGCAACGCGAAGAACCUUACCUAGCCUUGACAUGCAUCUCUAAGUCGGUGAAAGCCGGCGAGUGUAGCAAUACACAAUUUGCACAGGUGCUGCAUGGCUGUCGUCAGCUCGUGUCGUGAGAUGUUGGGUUUAAGUCCCGCAACGAGCGCAACCCCUGUGAACUGUUGCCACCGGGCCUCGGUCGUAGCGACUCUGUUCUAGACUGCCUCGUGAACGGGUAGGAAGGUAGGGGAGUGACGUCGAAGUCAGCA
rnacentral:rRNA from 1 species